rnacentral:rRNA from 1 species
CCUACGGGAGGCUGCAGUGAGGAAUAUUGGUCAAUGGGCUUACGCCUGAACCAGCCAAGUCGCGUGAGGGAAGACUGCCCUACGGGUUGUAAACCUCUUUUGUCAGGGAGCAAUGUGCGCUACGUGUAGCGUUAUCGAGAGUACCUGAAGAAAAAGCAUCGGCUAACUCCGUGCCAGCAGCCGCGGUAAUCCGGAGGAUGCGAGCGUUAUCCGGAUUUAUUGGGUUUAAAGGGUGCGUAGGCGGAAUGCCAAGUCAGCGGUAAAGUCGCGGGGCUAAACCUCGCUCUGCCGUUGAAACUGGCGGUCUUGAGUGGGCGAGAGGUAUGCGGAAUGCGUGGUGUAGCGGUGAAAUGCAUAGAUAUCACGCAGAACUCCGAUUGCGAAGGCAGCAUACCGGAGCGCAACUGACGCUGAAGCACGAAAGCGUGGGUAUCGAACAGGAUUAGAUACCCUUGUAGUC